rnacentral:rRNA from 1 species
CCUACGGGGGGCAGCAGUGGGGAAUAUUGCACAAUGGGGGAAACCCUGAUGCAGCAACGCCGCGUGAGUGAAGAAGUAUUUCGGUAUGUAAAGCUCUAUCAGCAGUGAAUUGACGGUACCUGCAAAGGAAGCACCGGCUAACUCUGUGCCAGCAGCCGCGGUAAUACGGAGGGUGCGAGCGUUAAUCGGAAUUACUGGGCGUACAGCGCCCGUAGGCGGGAGGUCAAGUGAAGGGUGAAAUCCCCGGGCUCAAGGUGGGAACUGCUUUUGAAACUGGCAAACUGGAGUGUGUGAGAGGAUAGUGGAAUUCCAGGUGUAGGAGUGAAAUCCGUAGAUAUCUGGAGGAACAUCAGUGGCGAAGGCGACUAUCUGGCACAUAACUGACGCUGAGGAGCGAAAGCGUGGGUAGCAAACAGGAUUAGAUACCCGAGUAGUC